rnacentral:lncRNA from 1 species
AUGAAACCUCUACUUCAAUCCUCCUACUGCGUACAGUCGCCAAUGUCAACAGUGGAACCGAUCUCUUCAUGGGAGGAGGACCGCAAGUUCGUCCUGCGAGCCUGGUGUCUUGUCUUCAUCAUCCUGGCAACCGCGAUGCUGCUCAGCGUGCUGGACGGGCGUAUGGCCUACCUGCACGGCGCCUACACCGGCUACGUGGGCUUCUGGACCAACUGCAAGAAGCAUACAUGUGCCGACCUGCGCCAAGUCACGGUUCUCAUCCACAUGAGCAUGGGCUUCAUGAUCCUGGCCGUGAUCCUGGCUCUAGUUCUCCUCCUGGCCAUGGGCUUCUCCUUCCGGCCAGCACUCCGCCGUCUUAACAAGACUGACCUCGUCUUCAGUACCCUCAGCUCCUUCACUGGAAUCCUGAGCUACUUAAACUACAUGGGCAUGUGGGGCAAAGGGACGUCCUCCACGGAACGGCGGAUGAGCUACCGCCGGUGGGCCUCGCUGCAGAACACCCGGAAGUCCAUAUCCGAACAGCUGUCGUCGGACGCAGGCUCCAAGCACGCCGAAAACUGAGGUAUAGUUUACUUA